rnacentral:misc_RNA from 1 species
AUAUGCACUAGCACCAGCAAUAAUAAGUUUUGGCCGAAAAAGGGUUGCAGUUUUCUCAAGCAUGUCAUAAUCAACAAGUCCUGAAGAUUCAUCAAGGCGGUAAGGCAUGGACUCAAAGUAAAUAGAUGUGCCUGAAACUCGUCUUUUAGGAGUCAUGAAUCCAUGGGACAAAUGACCCCCAUGAGGCAAGUCCAAUCCCAUAAUCCGGUCAUGUGGAUUGAGAACUGCUGU